UAGGGAAUCUUCCACAAUGGGCGCAAGUCUGAUGGAGCAACGCCGCGUGAGUGAAGAAGGUCUUCGGGAUCGUAAAAGCUCUGUUGUUGGUGAAGAAGGAUAGAGGCAGUAAAUGGUCUUUAUUUGACGGUAAUCAACCAGAAAGUCACGGCUAACUACGUGCCAGCAGCCGCGGUAAUACGUAGGUGGCAAGCGUUGUCCGGAUUUAUUGGGCGUAAAGCGAGCGCAGGCGGAAUGAUAAGUCUGAUGUGAAAGCCCACGGCUCAACCGUGGAACUGCAUCGGAAACUGUCAUUCUUGAGUGCAGAAGAGGAGAGUGGAACUCCAUGUGUAGCGGUGGAAUGCGUAGAUAUAUGGAAGAACACCAGUGGCGAAGGCGGCUCUCUGGUCUGCAACUGACGCUGAGGCUCGAAAGCAUGGGUAGCGAACAGGAUUAGAUACCCUGGUAGUCCAUGCCGUAAACGAUGAGCGCUAGGUGUUGGGGACUUUCCGGUCCUCAGUGCCGCAGCAAAUCGCAUUAAGCG
rnacentral:rRNA from 1 species